AGAGAAUCCAGGGUUUUUUUACCCUCAGURCUGUCUUAGGCUGAAGUGAUACUUGUGCACUACAAGCAAAGACAUUUUAUUUCCUGAGUACCAGCUGUGGAACGUGUGGAGCCAGGAGGCUGAAGCUGAGACAAGCACAAACCRUCCCCGCGCGGCUCUGUCUGCCCCGUGUGCGUCUCCCUGAUGGCAAGGGCUGCAGAACA